GACGAACGCUGGCGGCGUGCCUAAUACAUGCAAGUCGAGCGGACAGAAGGGAGCUUGCUCCCGGAUGUUAGCGGCGGACGGGUGAGUAACACGUGGGUAACCUGCCUGUAAGACUGGGAUAACUCCGGGAAACCGGAGCUAAUACCGGAUAGUUCCUUGAACCGCAUGGUUCAAGGAUGAAAGACGGUUUCGGCUGUCACUUACAGAUGGACCCGCGGCGCAUUAGCUAGUUGGUGAGGUAACGGCUCACCAAGGCGACGAUGCGUAGCCGACCUGAGAGGGUGAUCGGCCACACUGGGACUGAGACACGGCCCAGACUCCUACGGGAGGCAGCAGUAGGGAAUCUUCCGCAAUGGACGAAAGUCUGACGGAGCAACGCCGCGUGAGUGAUGAAGGUUUUCGGAUCGUAAAGCUCUGUUGUUAGGGAAGAACAAGUGCAAGAGUAACUGCUUGCACCAUGACGGUACCUAACCAGAAAGCCACGGCUAACUACGUGCCAGCAGCCGCCGUAACAC
rnacentral:rRNA from 1 species